UGAAUGGAUUUCUCGCAUGGAAAGUAACCCAUUUGAAAGUUGGUUUUGUUGAUAGAGAAAUAGUGUUGUAAUCUGUGGAAUUUGAGUAUUUGUUUGGUUCUCUGCUCCUUGCACAUUCGACUUCAAUGGCCUUGAGAAGAAGAGAAGUUCCCUUGUAUUUUUUAACUUUUUUAUGGUUUUGGAAUGCUGCAAAUGGAUUGCUCUCUCCCAAAGGAGUAAACUUUGAAGUGCAAGCUUUAAUGGGAAUA
rnacentral:misc_RNA from 1 species